ACUGUUGCGGGUUCUUAGGACCAAAGGAGUUUGCCUAUAAUGCCAAAACAAUCGAUGAAAGUUGUUAUUUUAGUGAGAAAUCAGUUGAUAAAACAGUGGUAAUUAUUGAGAAGCAAGUAUUGAAGAGAGUGGGCUGCAAGGAGUAUCUGGUGGACUGGUUUUAUGAAAACAAAGUAAUCUUGAUUGUUGCUCUAGGUACUGUGCUGCUUAUCCAGGUAAUAAAUAUACUUGUUGCUGUCUACCUCGUCAACCAAAAGAAACGUACCCAUAGAAGUUCUUCAGUUCGUGAAAUUCAAAAUCACUCACAUGUCUAACUGCUGUACAUCCACCAAAACUUUAGUGGAAAAAACCAUGUGCUGGACAUCCACCAAACCAUUAGUGGAAAAAAUCAUGUACUGGACAUCCACCAAACCUUUAGUGGAAAAAAUCAUGUGCUGG